rnacentral:tRNA from 1 species
GCAGAUGUGGUGGAACUGGCAGACACGCCAUCUUGAGGGGGUGGUGAGCCACGCUCGUGCGGGUUCGAGUCCCGCCAUCUGCACCA